AACGAACGCUGGCGGCAGGCUUAACACAUGCAAGUCGAACGCACCGUUCGGGGUGAGUGGCAGACGGGGGAGUAACGCGUGGGAAUCUACCCUUCUCUACAGGAUAGCUCCGGGAAACUGGAAUUAAUACCGUAUACGUCCUGAGGGGGAAAGAUUUAUCGGGGAAGGAUGAGCCCGGGUUGGUUUAGCUAGUUGGUGGGGUAAAGGCCUACCAAGGCGACGAUCCAUAGCUGGUCGAAGAGGAUGACCAGCCACAGUGGGACUGCGACCCGGCCCAAACCCCUACGGGGGGCAGCAGUGGGGAAUAUUGGACGCUGAGCGCUAGCCUGAUCCAGCCAUGCCGCGUGAGUGAUGAAUGCCCUAGGGUUGUAAAUCUCUUUCAGUGGGGACGUUAAUGACGGUACCCACAGAAGAAGCCCCGGCUAACUUCGUG
rnacentral:rRNA from 1 species